UACGAAGGGGGCUAGCGUUGUUCGGAUUUACUGGGCGUAAAGCGCACGUAGGCGGAUCGUUAAGUCGGGGGUGAAAUCCUGGAGCUCAACUCCAGAACUGCCCUCGAUACUGGCGAUCUCGAGUCCGGAAGAGGUGAGUGGAACUCCUAGUGUAGAGGUGGAAUUCGUAGAUAUUAGGAAGAACACCAGCGGCGAAGGCGACUCACUGGUCCGGUACUGACGCUGAGGUGCGAAAGCGUGGGGAGCAAACAGG
rnacentral:rRNA from 1 species